GACAGAGGGUGCAAACGUUGUUCGGAAUUACUGGGCGUAAAGCGUGUGUAGGCGGUCGAGUAAGUUGGAUGUGAAAGCCCCAGGCUUAACCUGGGAAGUGCACCCAAAACUGCGCGACUUGAGUAUCGGAGAGGUUGGUGGAAUUCUCGGUGUAGAGGUGAAAUUCGUAGAUAUCGAGAGGAACACCGGUGGCGAAGGCGGCCAACUGGACGAAUACUGACGCUGAGACACGAAAGCGUGGGGAGCAAACAGG
rnacentral:rRNA from 1 species